ACUCUUCUAUUCCGUACUUUGUUUACUCUGACAUUGACUUAAGAGAAGACUUUACCCUCGUGAUGGAGCAGCGCCGGGAGUUCGCCACCGCCGAGGUCAUGGAAUCCGACUUGGAAUUUGCCUUUCGCCUCCAAUUGCAGGAGGCUCUCGAGGUCUCCCUCGCCGUGAAUCCGUCGUCUUCCUCCGCCGUUCUUGAACAGCCUAUUGUUGAAGUUGAAGACGCAGUGAACCUGACCUCACUGCAGAACGAGGAGUUGGCGCGUGUGGAGUGCGAGUUGAAGGACAGGGAACAGAGCGAGAGGGAAAUGCAAAAGAUGAGGGACGAUCUCAGUCGAAGGUUUCACGACCAGAAGGUGGCGAGGGAUUUAUUGUUGAUUUCUGAGGCGGAUUGGCAAGAGUGGGGCGAUCACUUUGAGAAACCGUUCGGUGAGGGUUCAUCGUCGUCGCGUAAGACGGGGACGGAGGAAGGGAUGGUUAGGGUUUACUUGAAGGGUUUGGUGAGCGAGGAAACCGUGAGGGGGAAGAAGGUUCUGUUAUCUGGGAUAGGGGUUGCGAUCUGUGACGGAAGGAAUAAUUUGCUAUUUGAGGUUUCUAAGUCGGUGAUUGGGAAUGGCACUAGCAAGGUUGCUGUGGAGAUGAAGGCGUUGAUUGAAGCCUUCAAGAUGGCCCUUGCUAUGAACUUAAAGCGCAUAACCUACUACACCGAUUAUCUUCCGCUUCUUCAAUUUGUGAGAGGAAAAUGGUCUGCAAGGCAGCGGAAGAUUGCCAUGUUGGUUGAUCAAAUUCGUGUGCUUCAAUUGAAGUUUACAUACUGUGAUUCAAGGCUUUUGGCCAGAAAUGAUGUCAAGUUUGCAUUUAAGCUUGCGAGAGAUGCCAUUGUGUCUCAGUCUAUGAGACCCACUGAACCUGGGAGUACGAGGAGUUUGAAUGAAACCUGUGCUAUAUGUUUGGAGGAUACUGAUGCCAGUCAGAUUUUUUCAGUUGAUGGAUGUCAACACCGCUAUUGCUUUUCUUGCAUGAAACAACAUGUUGAGGUGAAGUUGCUUCAUGGAAUUGCGCCUAAGUGCCCUCAUGAGGGAUGCAAGUCUGAGCUUCUGGUUGACAGCUGCCAGAAGUUCUUGACUCAAAAUUUAAUUGAUACCAUGCGUCAACGGAAUUUGGAAGCUUCAAUUCCUGUUACUGAAAAAGUUUACUGCCCUUAUCCACGAUGUUCUGCAUUAAUGACAAAAACUCAGGUCUUUGAGUACUCGAAAAAUCUUAUUGGUGGAUCUGUACUGUCGGGGGCCAAAAAAUGCUUAAACUGUCAUGGCCUUUUCUGUUUUAACUGCAAGGUCCCUUGGCAUAGUGGUAUGCCAUGUUUUAUUUACAAAAUGUUGAAUCCCAACCCUCCUGCUGAAGAUUUGAAGCUGAAGUCUCUGGCAUCAACGAGCCUGUGGCGGCAGUGCGUGAAGUGUAACCAUAUGAUUGAACUUGCUGAAGGUUGCUAUCACAUGACUUGCAGAUGUGGUUUUGAAUUUUGCUAUAACUGUGGUGCUGAGUGGAAGAACAAAAGAGCAACGUGUUCUUGCCCACUCUGGGUGGAGGAGAAUAUUUGGUUGGAGGAGAGAGAUCUGGACGAGGAUGACGACGAGGAUGAUGAUCCCUUUGGAUGACUUUGAUUAUUAUGAUGGUUACUAAGCAGCUGACUGAUUGAUCAGGUUGAUGGUCUCCUUCUACAUCUAAUGGGGCAAAUCCUGAUGGUAGAUUCGAUGGGGGCAACGAUGCUGCAUAGCUGGACCGGUUUCAUGUGGCUCCUAGGAGUGACGUUUUGGCCCUAGAGCUGUUAUAAAACUCUUAUUUUAGGAUCUGUCUCUUUUGAAAAACUAUCUUUUCCUUUGGUUUUAUUUGUGGUUUAAGGCACUGUGAUUCUACCUAAGACCUUUACAUGUUUAUGGAUGACUGUAACCGUGUUUUCCUUAAGUACUUCUUUUGAUUGCCCUGUUUAAUGAUAUAAUUAUGUGACGUGAUUAUUCAGUA